rnacentral:misc_RNA from 1 species
UACCAUUUUUUUUAAAGCCUUCAAUCACCUUCAAAUUUCAUGGCACAUGAACUCUCUCCAACGCUACCUUCUAUGAUGGAAUGUUAAAGUGGAAGAGCCAAGAGAUGACAAACGCGAAUACCAUACAAGCUAAGAGGAAAUUCAAGAAUCGAUGGCCAUUCAAACAAGUUCGAGCUUCUGAAGCUGCUGAUAUUGGUGCAGAUGCUGCACUUGUAGCCACUGCACUUGAUUCAUUUGUUUGCUGUGCUGAUUCGACAUCAUUUGGACCAAUGACGUUGCGUGCGAGAGAAUUGCAGAUUUCACAAGUCUUAUUUCCUUUGAUUUUGAACCAUGCCUCAGCACAAUGCCUAUGUGCAACAGCCAAAUCAUCUUUACAAGAACAUCCCAAUUCAAUAGCAAAACUAGAUUCAGGACCAGAACUCACCAAACUCAGAUGACAAAUCCUACAAUCUCUUUCAAUUUUCCCAACAUGCAACUUAGUUUCACCAAUUCCAUUUUCCAAAUCCACUGAUCUAUCAGACUCAGCCACAGAUGAAACUCUCCUUGACACCUCCAUAACUUCCCCUAUUUCAGACUCAGUAGCACAAGCAAAACUAUAAUCAUCAUAAUUUGACCCAUCAGCAGUUGAAUAAAACUGAGAAUAACAAGAACCCUCAUCAGCAUCAGAAAAACAAACACUACUACCACUACCUGAGCACCG